AGCCCUAAGUAUUUAUUUAGGGUGAUACCUGCCCAAUGAGAUAUUUAAUGGCCGCGGUACUUUGACCGUGCUAAGGUAGCAUAAUCAAUUGACUUUUAAAUGAAGUCUGGAAUGAAAGGGGAUACGGAAUUUAACUGUCUUCAAGACUUUUAAUUUGAAUUUACUAACUAAGUGAAAAAGCUUAGAUAAGAUAAAAGACGAGAAGACCCUAAGAGUUUAAAUAAUUUUGUUGGGGCGACAUAAGGUCAAUAAUAACACCUUAUAAUUAUGUGACGGAUUUUUCAUGUUAAGAUAAACUACCUUAGGGAUAACAGCAUAAUUCUUUUUGAGUUUGUGACCUCGAUGUUGGACUAGGGAGCCUUUAGGCUAGCUGCCUAGAUAGGGGAUUCUGUUCGAAUUUUUACUCCU
rnacentral:rRNA from 1 species